rnacentral:rRNA from 1 species
CAGUUCGAAACGAUAGAUACGUGUAGUGCUCGUAAACGAUUUAGACUGCGAUCGGCAAGGGUGUUAAUAACCUGUCAGCAGCUUCCGGGAAACCAAAGUGUUUGUAGCCCAGGGGGAGUAUGGUUGCAAAGCUGAAACUUAAAGAAAAUGACGGAAGGGCACCACCAGGCCGUGGAGCCUGCGGCUUAAUUUGACUCAACACGGGACAACUUGCCCGGCCCGGACACAGGAAUGAUUGACAGAUUGAGAGCUCUUUCUUGAUUCUGUGGGUGGUGGUGCAUGGCCGUUCUUAGUCGGUGGAGUGAUUUGUCUGGUUAAUUCCGAUAACGGACGAGACUCUGACAUGCUAACUAGUUUCGCUUGCCCUUGGUCAGGUGGGAACUUCUUAGAUGGAUUGGCGCUUUUUUUCAAUGCGCAUGAAAUAGAGCUAUAACAGGUCUGUGAUGCCCUUAGAUGUUCGGGACCGCACGCGCGCUACAAUGAAUUAGUCAAUAGGAUUUAGCUGAGGCGAAAGCUUGUCGCAAGACAUUUCGGCGAAUCGAACAAACUAGUUCAUGCUUGGGAUAGUUGCUUGUAAUUCUUCAACUUGAACGAGGAAUGCCUAGUAAUGAUGAGUCAUCAGCUCAUCGUGAUUACGUCCCUGCCCUUUGUACACACCGCCCGUCGCUAGUACCGACUAGUUGGUUUAGUGAGUCGCUUGGAUUUAUAGUAGGGAAGGGCGCAAGUCCGGAACUGCAGUGAAGAAGAAUGGCAAACU